AUACGUAGGUGGCAAGCGUUGUCCGGAAUUACUGGGCGUAAAGGAUGCGUAGGCGGUAUAUGUAAGUCAGAUGUGAAAUACCGGGGCUCAACUUGGGUGCUGCAUUUGAAACUGCAUGUCUAGAGUGCGGGAGAGGAAAGUGGAAUUCCUAGUGUAGCGGUGAAAUGCGUAGAGAUUAGGAAGAACACCAGUGGCGAAGGCGACUUUCUGGACCGUAACUGACGCUGAGGCAUGAAAGCGUGGGUAGC
rnacentral:rRNA from 1 species